rnacentral:rRNA from 1 species
CAGUCGCCACGGUAAGACAAAGGAUGCAAGUGUUAUCCGGAAUGAUUGGGCGUAAAGCAUCUGUAGGUGGCUUUUCAAGUCCGCCGUCAAAUCCCAGGGCUCAAUCCUGGACAGGCGGUGGAAACUACCAAACUGGAGUACAGUAGGGGCAGAGGGAAUUUCCGGUGGAGUAGUGAAGUGCGUUUAGAUUGGAAAGAACACCAAUGGCGAAAGCACUCUGCUAGGCUGACACUUACACUGAGAGACGAAAGCUAGGGGAGAAAACGGGAUUAGAUACCCCGGUAGUCCCUGUCUCUUAUAC